rnacentral:rRNA from 1 species
CUUAGAAGCAGCCAUCCUUGAAAGAGUGCGUAAUAGCUCACUGGUCAAGUGGUUCUGCGCCGACAAUGUAGCGGGGCUCAAGCGCACCGCCGAAGCCGUGGCAGCAGCGCGUUGUCGCCCUCCUCCCCCCUGUUGGAUGGGGUGGUGGGUGCGCUGCUGGGUAGGGGAGCGUCCUGCGCGGGGCGAAGCCCGGGGGUGACCCCUGGUGGACCGCGUGGGAGUGAGAAUGCAGGCAUGAGUAACGAAUUCUGCGGUGGGAAUCCGCAGCGCCGAUUGACUAAGGGUUCCAGGGCCAGGUUCAUCCGCCCUGGGUUAGUCGGGUCCUAAGGCGAGGCCGACAGGCGUAGUCGAUGGUCGACCAGUUGAUAUUCUGGUACCGCGCGGCGACCGCCAGUGCCGAUACCGCUGUGCUAACCGCCCGCACCGCCCCUCCUGCGCUUUCGGGCGCGGGGGCUGGGGGGUGUCGCGGGGCCCCGGUGGUGGAGGCAAGCGUGUUGACAGGGGUGACGCAGGAAGGUAGCCGCAAUGCGCCGGUGGUUGUGCGUAUUCAAGGCUGUGGCCCGUCCCCCAGGCAAAUCCGGGGGGCAUGUGGGUGAGGGCUGAGGAGGGACACACGCGUGUGUGGACUUGUGGUGAUCCUAUGCUGCCGAGAAAAACCCCGACGUGAGGGCGCCGCGCGCCCGUACCCCAAACCGACUCAGGUGGUCAGGUAGAGCAUACCGAGGCGUUCGAGUGAAUCAUGGUUAAGGAACUCGGCAAAAUUCCUCCGUAACUUCGGGAUAAGGAGGACCCCUUGGCCUCCUCCCGCCGCGCGCGGGGGCGGGGCCGGGGGGUCGCAGAGAAUAGGGAGAAGCGACUGUUUAUCAAAAACACAGGUGCGUGCGAAGCCGCAAGGCGAUGUAUACGCACUGACGCCUGCCCGGUGCUGGAAGGUCAAGAGGAGCCCUCAGCCCCCCUGCGGGGGGCGAAGGGGCGAAUUCAAGCCCCAGUAAACGGCGGUGGUAACUAUAACCAUCCUAAGGUAGCGAAAUUCCUUGUCGGGUAAGUUCCGACCUGCACGAAUGGCGUAACGACUUCUCCGCUGUCUCAACCGUGAACUCGGUGAAAUUGCAGUACGAGUAAAGAUGCUCGUUUCGCGCAGAAGGACGGAAAGACCCCGGGACCUUUACUAUAGCUUGGUAUUGGUGUCCGCUUGUGCUUGUGUAGGAUAGGUGGGAGACUGUGAAGCGGCCGCGCCAGCGGUGGUGGAGUCGUCGUUGAAAUACCAUUCUGGUUCAAGCGGGCGCCUGAACCUGGGCCCGUGAUCCGGGCCGGGGACAGUGCCUGGUGGGUAGUUUAACUGGGGCGGUUGCCUCCUAAAAGGUAACGGAGGCGCUCAAAGGUCCCCUCAGCCUGGUUGGCAAUCAGGUGGCGAGUGCAAGUGCACAAGGGGGCUUGACUGUGAGACCGACGGGUCGAGCAGGUGCGAAAGCAGGAACUAGUGAUCCGGCCAUGGCACGUGGGUGCGUGGUCGCUCAACGGAUAAAAGGUACCCCGGGGAUAACAGGCUGAUCUUGCCCAAGAGUCCAUAUCGACGGCAUGGUUUGGCA